rnacentral:lncRNA from 1 species
GCUGAUCCAUUCCAUGGAGUUGUUCAGCUAAUAUACCAGUCAUGCCGGUGAAAAUCGCGAUAAAGACAACCAGAGAUUAAAGAUUUUAUCGAAAGGGGUGUGGGUUUGAUUGGGGCUGAUUUAAAAGGGUAUUCAACAAGGGGCAUGUGUGGAGGAAGGACCUGCACACCGGAGUUGUGCUCCGGCGAGGUGAGAUGGUUAGCCUGACGGCGGAAAGAGGUUAGGUUUUUUUUAUUAUUAUUAUUAUUAUUAUUAUUAUGUGAUUACCGACAAUUAUGAUUUUCAUAAAAUAUAAAAUUAAUUUGAAGCAAAUAAAAAAGAAGAUAUUGAGAUAAAUAUAUUUCUCACACUAAAUAUAGUCAAACUUAUGGAGAACUAGUUUAUUUCAUGACGAAUAAUUGUCUUGAAAAAUUUAGUUUAAUCGUUGCUAAAAGUUAGCUUUGAUAAUAAAAUCUAUUGUCACCAAUAACAAAAAAAACGCUAUUAUUUCAUAUUGAUAUUAUUUUUUAAUUAGAAUUGAAUAAAUUAAAAAUAAAAUUAUAAAACAUGUUAGAUUGAUAAAAUUCACCCACAAUCAUACAAUUAAAAAAACUAAAAUUGCACUUAAGGUAAUAUCUCCUUAUAGAACAAACAAAAGUAAAAUAAGUCCAACACAAAGGAAAUCUAAUUGAAAUAUAGUACUAAAUAUUACUAUUCUAAACUAAGGUAGAUAUGUGGAGGUUUCUUCCAAAGUACCAAUAACGUGCUUGCAAUUGGUCUUCAUUCAACGCUCACUUUUACACCUGUGGAAAAGAGAAGAAAACUAUGAUUGAUGAUGUUGCUUUCAGAUUUACAACAAUAACAUGGCCGAUGUAUUCCCACAAAAUGGGGUUUGGAGAGGAUAAAGUGUUUAUACUUUUCAUAUGUUACUGACCAAAACUCUUGCACGUACUAUAUCAAUCCUAAUAAACCAUUUCCCUAAAACUAGUAUCAUCACCUUCAUACGGUCAUUAUUUUCAUAGCAGUAAUUAUCUAAAGUUCAUGCAUAAUAUCUAGUACUAAACAUAAUGGAAAUAAUUAUCCUUUAUUCUACACAAAGAUACAUUUUUUAAAGUAGAUUCAAGAAAUACUAGUCUAUUAAAAGUUCAUGAAACAGUCGAUCUUAAUCACUCGUCUAUCUAAUUACAACUUGUCAGCACGUUUUACUUCAUAACAUCAUUAUUACUUGUUCAUUCACAAUACAUAUUUUUUCUAAACUAUGUGCUUAAACCUGCAAGUAUCAUAGGGUUCUUUCUUAAAAAUCAUAAAAAUAUAGCCUAAAUUGGCAAUUUCUGACCACUUUAUCCUUCCACUCAUAAUUUAUACUUGCACUUUACUACCACAUAACAUGCCAUAAAAUCCCAAUUCAGGAUAGAUAACAGUAGAACCAAAAACAAACUUAAAAGCACACAACAAGAAUGCAUGGUGUUUAUAAUAAGAAAAUGUUGAGAUUGACUUAAAAUGGUGCUCUACUCCCUGACUCUUGGUGUCAACUAUUAUUAGUAGAACUGCAUAUGCAGGAGGUUGAAAUUGUUGGUACUUUCUAGCGGCUCUCCAUAAAAAGGACCAAUUUAUGCCUUGUUGGAAAAGAAAAAAGACAACAACAACAACAAACCUAGUGUAUUCCUACAAAGUGGAGUCUGGGGAGGGUAAGAUGUACACAGUCCAUACCGCUACCUCUGAAGAAGUAGAGAGGCUAUUUCCGAUAUACCCCCAGCUUAAGAUAUAGAACAGUAAAUAAUGGGAUGGAUGACAUAAUAGAAAAUCAGGAAUAAGAAAUAAUAAAAUAGCCACCAGAGUGGAAAAGAAAAAAAAUCAAAAUAAAAAAACAAAUUGAAGAAGAAAGAAUACAAAUUUUAAUAGAAAAUUUUCAAGGGAGAAGAAAGUCCGAGAAGAAAAAAAAUGGUUCUACGGGAGAUCACAUUUGGAACAACGUAUAUUUUGGGUCUAAAACGAACUUACAAGCUGUUUUUGAAGAUUCAGCAUAAGCUCAUUAGUCCUAAAUAUCCCAGCCUUCGUGAUUUCGCUCAUAGGCGAACACUAGCUGCAUUUGAUGUGGUACUGACCAUUUAUCGCAAGGUACAGGAAAGAGAUAUUGAAGCUGGUCGGAACCUUGGUAAUUGAAUCCUUCGAUGGCUUGACAAAAUGAAGCCAUCUGAUAAUAUUCGAGGUUUAAAUAACAAUGCAACUACGAGUGCAUCUAAGCGGCUUACGAACUCAUCACACUCCCCCAAUCUCGAAACUUUCUAGAAAUAUGGUGCUGGCAAGGACAAGGAAUCCAGCAGUAGACAUCUGUUUACCUCAGCUAGGAACACAUGACAGAAAGCUUACCCAACCAUUUCCAUGAUGAUUAAACCAAGAAGCCCAGCUGAAACAAAUAUCCAAUACAAGUAGUUCAACUCUAUUUUACCAAAUAGUUUCAGCGCCAUGAAUCAUGCCAAAUAUAGUUUUAAGGGAGUGAUCUGACCGAAUGUAUUACAGUGGAUUCAACAAAGCUAAUCCAUUAACUACUUUGCUGCUGCUUUUUGGACUUUUCACUAGUGGAGCUGAACCCUCGAGAAAAGGCAUAUCUAAUACAAAUAAUAGCUAACUAAAUCAGUGUCAUCAUGGAAAUUGAAGGUUCUGAUUUGUAGCCUUGUGGUUUCUGUUUUGUUUUCUUUCGGAUGGACCUAGUCCUUUCCAGUCAAUAUAUGUAAAAUUCAAUCUUAACAACUCUACCAGUAACAUACCCAUCAAGAAUAUGUUGGAAUACGUUGAUGCACAUAAUUUAUAUAUUUAAUAAAGAGAACUUAAAUUGAACUUAUCAUAUAAAUUUAUGUUACCUCUAAACUUACGGCGAUGGGCUAACAAGAAGUUGCAUUUUCUUAAGUAUUUCCUCUUGGCGUGCCACUACAGCAUUCAAUUGAGAAUUUAAUGCUUUGAUCUACGACUGCUGAUCUUGUAUCUGUGAUUGUUGGCUUUCUUCCAUAGUUUCAGUUGCAUUUAAUCAUUUUUGUAACUCAUUUUGGGCACUAGCAGCUUCCAUUUUCGCCUUUUUGGGGGAAUCUUCUAACUCUGUCGUUCUCCUUUGUGUUGCCAUUGUAGUAUUAGAUUUAAGACCAUAACCAAGACCUUUUAUGUACCUGACUUUGUACCAGGUACAACAUCCAGUUUUUCAACAAUAGUCAUGGAAGACUCUCUAGAAGUAUAUAGAGCUUUCAAAUCGCUCAUGUUGUUCAGCAUAAAAUAAUAACACAUUUAAAGGAGAAGACAUGAAGAAGAUUAAUCAAAUAAAUUCAAUGGUAUGUUACUAAAUUAUUAAUUUUUUACAUAGUUAGUCUCAGCUUCUUCAGAUGACCAUCAUUUUUCCCUCGUGUAAUGAGUAUGCUUGUAGAACUCAAUUCUAUCAAGCUCUAGAGAGAGGAAGUGAUCAAACCAUGGUCACAGACCAUUUGAACUCUAGUUGUUGUUCGGGCUUAGUCCACUAUUUUUGGUAUCCUCUUUACAUAUUCUCUUAGGUUUCGGAGAGCUUACAUUACAACUUAUCCCUUAUGAUCACAAAUUCUAUAUUAUUGCUAUGAUGUACUUCAGAUUUUGGGAUUUUUAAAGCUAUUAUGGAUUUUUUGAAAUUAUUUUCUGUCUAAAAAAAAAAAAAGAACUAAACAAGUAAUCAAUUACAGGAGCAACUACCAAGUCAAGGAAAGGCUAUUUUAACACUGUAUAAAACAAGCAUUCCUAAAAUUAGAAGAAUGGUCCAAGAAGAUAUUACUCAUUUUAAUGCCUAAAAUAUGCAAGCAGGAGAACAAUACCAGCAAAGGGGAAGCAAAAUGGGAAAGAAUGUACUUCAUUUACAAAACUUGCUUAAUAAUGUACAGGAAGAGUGUCAGAAACAAGAACCUGUUGGCAGCAAGACAGUUCCUUCUUUUCUGCUCAAUUCAGCUAAGAAGAGAUUCUCGAAAUGUACUUGCAACCUAGAUGAAAACCAAAUUAGAAGGGUGAGUAGAUUGCAAACUAUAUGAAUUAGGGAUUGACAGUGAAAAUGAUUUCAUCUACCGUUGGAAAUGAGUUCCUGCGAUUGCUAAACCUAUAUCCAGUGAGAGUUUUGGAUGUCGAAAGUCAAUGCAAUCAAACGGUAUGAAAUCGGAUCUAAAGUGCUAAUCUAUAUAUAUAGAGAGUUUACAUUUACAACAAUUGAAGCUAAACCCCAUAAACUAACAAUGGAAGGAAGGGGAAAAAGGAACUUAACUUUGACAAGGAAGGUGACAAGCUAACUCUUGGUUCGAUGAGUUGGAGCAGAGGGUCGACGGAGAAGCCAUUUCUAAUGACGAGAUAGGCGACAAAUCUCUUAGUUUCCUAUUUUCAGUUUAGUGAUACGUUUGUCUGACUAGGGAAUUUCAUGUCUGGUUUUUGUGAUGGACCCGGGGCGCCUUUUGUGGGCUGAUCCUUUUUUUAUUUUCAUUUUUAAUUUAUAAAAUGGGCUAAAAUCCCAUCUUUAAUUAAAAAAAAUACUCUCCACGGAUGAUUUUCAUUUCCUUUUUUCUUUUUUUAAAUUUUUUUAAAAAAUAUUUCUUUAGAUAAAAUCAUCAUUUAUUAAUUUUUAAUUAUAUAUAAAAAAUAAAAAUUCUCAUUAUUUUUUGUAAACUAGACCUAUAAUACGAGACCUAACAAACAUUAUCUUAUUUUUGGAAAAACCAAAACGUACAAAUAUAAAUCUCCAUUAUUUUUAACAAUGUAAAAAGGAAAGCCAUUGUAGGAGUCCAAAGACAUGGUCUUUUUUUGGGGGAAAAAGAAAUAAUUACUUUUUGCAAAAAUUAGAAAACUCCUUUUUGUGAAAAGUAAAAAACUCUCAUUUAUAUUUUUGGCAAAAUAUUUUUAAUUUAUAGAAUAAAAAACGAGGUUAGAGUCCUUUUCGAUUAUAGGAGUCCUUUUUUUAUUUUUCUCUCUCACAAUCGAUAGUAUCCUAAUAUAAAUUAUAUGGGAGUCAAAAAUCAAAUUCUUUUUUGGUUUAUUAAUACUCCUUUUAUAAAUGGAGUUGCUUUGCUUGGUAAUUAAAUUACAUGAAUAAAAAGUACGUAGGCACAAUUAUUAUUUUUCUCUUAAUGUUUUCGUUUCUUUGGUUCAAAUUUUGUGCAAUUCAUUUUAUUUUUAUGUUGUCAAUUGUGCGUUUAGAUUCAUAAUAAAUCAUUAUCAACUUCUCACAAAUUCGACUCCAAAUUGAUGAUUAGCUUAAAGUAUUUAACCGUGAAAAGUGUUUGGCUCUAUUUGAGUAGUUGUCAUCUAUUAUAUUAUAUUGUGUUCUUAGUUAAAAUACAAUAUUUUGAUUAUCUUGGUUUGUUAUUUCUUCUCUAUUUAUUUUGUUAAAGUGAUUUUAUUUUGAUGGGUACAUUUUGCAAUAAAGUCCUUUUAAAUGUAGGAUUUAUUAGGAGUAGAAUUAGUUUAGGUAUAAAAUUCAUGUGAUAUUCUUCAAUUUAAGUAAAUUAUUUUUUCUUACCUAUUUUAGCAAGGAUGUGUGUUAUUGACGUGGAAAUUAGUUAGUUGGAUUUUUUAUUUUAAGGGUGGGUUUUUUUUUUAUUAAAAGUGUGAAAACCCUUAGAAAUAUUGUUUGAACUUUUUACCCUCCAGUAAAAGUCUUUGUUUAUAUAAAAUCAUAUUUUCACUAUUUUUUUCAAUAUUUAAGAGUUAAAAAUUAAUUAAAUAUAUUUAUGAUAAUGUUAAAAACUUUCCUUCUCAGAAGUCAUCAGAAUUAAUGAAAACUAAUUCUUUUUUCAUUAACUUAAAAAUUCUAAAUCAACUAAAUUUGAUUUUAAGAAGAUUUGAAAAAUCUAGAAAUAAAUAUAACAACGUUAGAAUAAGAAAAAUUCUAGAAAUACCAAUUUUUUAAAAGUUUUAAGUACGUAACAAGAAUGUGAUCAAUGAUUUUGUAAAAGUUACAAGCAGCAUACUCCUAUUUUUACUUUUUUUAUUAUUUUAAAUUUGAUUCAUGUGUAUUCUUGAAUUUAUUAUCAUCUGACUUUAUGCCUUAAUUUAUUUCUUUUAAUUAAUAGCUUUAAAGAUUAUAUAUGAAUUAUUCAUAAUCAACAAUUGAUAACGAAUUCUCUUCUUUUAAUUUCUUGUGUUUCUCUUUUAGAUGAGAAUUUUUAAUUAAAAAAUUUGAAAGAAUUCCCCGCCAAAUGAAUCAAUGAUGCGUCUCUCUUAACUUCUGACAGCAAGGAAAAGAGGUACUGCUUGACAAACAUAAAAGUUAUCUCCAUCAACCACUUGAAACGUAUGGUGAUAAAAUCUAUAUGUGCUUUCACUAAAAUAUAUGUCUACACUUACAUUAUUAUAUUAAAGUGUGGAGAAUCAUUGAAAAGUGAUUUAAACUUUUACACUUCAUUAAAAUUUUUUGCAAUAGAUAAAAUCAUUUAAUUUUAGAUAAUCAAACGUUAUACAUGCGAGGAACGUGCGGUUAAUAUAUAUACAUACAUAUAUAUAUAUACAUACAUAUAUAUAUAUAUGUAUAUAUAUAUAUAUAUGUAUAUGUAUAUAUAUAUAUAUUUAAACUUUUUGCCUUUCAUUAAAAGUCUCUGUUUUAGAUAAAGUUGUCUUUUAAUUAUUUUCAUAAUAUUUAAAGAGUUAAAAAUUAAUUAAAAAACAACUGUGGCACGUGCAGCUAAACUAGAAAACAAGAAUAGCCAAAGAUUAUUAUAUUUAGCUACAAAAUUUUUGUCGUACCAAAUAGUUAAAUUAUUCAGCUACAAAUUCAAAAUCAUCACUAUUAAAUGAUGACAUAUUUUGUGAUAAAAAUUAAUUAAAAAACAACUGUGGCACAUGCAGCUAAACUAGAAAACAAGAAUAGCCAAAGAUUAAUUUAUAUUUAGCUAUGAAAUUUUUUUCGUACCAAAUAGUUAAAUUAUUCUGCUACAAAUUUGAAAUCAUCACUAUUAAAUGAUGACAUAUUUUGUGAUAAAAUUAUACUGUCACUGAAUCACAGGUUAAUUUAGAGACAAUAAACGGAUCGUCACUAAUUGCUUAAAGUAUUAGUGACAAAAAUUGAGGUCACAAUUAAAUAUCAAAAUUUAUAGUUAAAAAUUACAAUAUUUAACUACAAACUCUAAAUUGUCACUAUUGCAAUAACUUAUUUUUUAUGACAAAUUUAUUUUGUGUCUAAAAUUGUAACUAAUUCAAGAUAAAUAAUAGUUUGUCACGAAUUGAAUACGUUAUUAGAGACAAAAAAAAGGUGUCACUAAAAACUUAAAAUUCGUCACUAAUUGUACUUAAUAAAUGACGCCAAAAUAAUUUUUGGUGGGAAACUUUAGAGGACAAAACUUUGCGACAAAGUUUUAUGUUUUGUCACUAAAAAUAUGUACUUCAUGUAUUUAGAUACGAAAUGUAAUUAUUGACAUGAAAAGUGAACAAUUAGUGACGAAUUUCAUCUCGUAGCUAAUAAUUUCGUAGUUAUAUAUCAAUUUUGUUGUAGUGCAUGAUUAGCAAAUGAUUAUAAAUGUGAAAUAUUCAAUAAAAUUCAAUCAAUUCUAAAUCAUACAAAGUAGAAUGUCCAAUGUUCAAAACCACAUAUAUUGAAAACUUACUAACUUUAAUGUGAAAUAUUCUGUAGAAUUCAAUCAAUUCUAAAUCAUACAAAAUAAAGUGUCCAAUUCUCAAAGCCACAUAUAUUGAAAACUUACUAACUUUAAUUUUCUUCUUUUGCGUUCAACCAUAGCUACAAAGUUCAAUAUUGUUUCUGAGUAAACCAUUAUCUAUAUAUAGAUUGUUCAAGUCAUAAGAAUUUGAUAGAAGAAAAUUGAAGGGACAUGUUACUUAAAUAGAGAAUGUAAAUAGAUGGAUGUUUUUGGUAACUCAUGAGAUAGAAUAGUGUGCUGACUAUGAGAGUUCGAGACCCCGGAGAUUUCAUUUUAUACAUCACUUUCAAUGAUUCAAUUAAUUGUACUCGUCUUUUAGUUUUUGUCUUCAUUUGUUUCCAAUAACAAAUCAUUGUUGUCUAAAACUGAGUGUUUCUUGCCAUUUUAUUUAUUAAACAAAUUGAUCAAUGCAAGAAAUGGUGAAAAAAAAAUUUAAAAAAAAAAGAGAAAAAAGAUAAAUAGAAAUGGUGGCCAUAGAGAGGUGCCACAUCAUCCUUGUGUUGUUUCUCCUUUAUUUAUUUAUUUAUAUAUAUAUAUAUAUAUAUAUAUAUAUUAAUUGUUAUAAAAAUAGUGUGCUGACUAUGAGAGUUCGAGACCCCGGAGAUUUCAUUUUAUACAUCACUUUCAAUGAUUCAAUUAAUUGUACUCGUCUUUUAGUUUUUGUCUUCAUUUGUUUCCAAUAACAAAUCAUUGUUGUCUAAAACUGAGUGUUUCUUGCCAUUAUUUUUUUGAAAAAAAAAAAAAAAAAUCUUUUUCGUGAGGCAUUGAGUGAUAAAGAGUUAGGGUGGACAGGUUACACACAGAUUAAAAUACUGAUCUGUAACGAUGAAUAAUAAUUAUUGAAUUAUGUAAAGCAUAUGUACUUAUACGACGUUAUACAAUUGAGACCAAAAAUACAGCACUAGCAAGAGCAUGGAGUUGCAAGAACAAUCAGAGGAUACUUCUUAUGCACAGCCACACCAGUUGAUUCUACAAUGUCCAAAUCCUUCGCUUUUGGCUUAUCAACCAACUCAAAAUUAAAGUUCAACAACAAAUUUGCCAAUGCAAGUUCGCUAACAGCGAGGGUGAAUUGGGAUCCUGGGCAUCCCCUUCGCCCUGAACCAAAUGGAAUAAACUCAAAAUCAAAUCCUUUAAAAUCAACGUCGGUCUUAAAGAACCUCCCAGGCUGAAAUUCUUCAGGCUUUUCCCACAACGAAGGGUCUCUUCCUAGCGCCCAAGCAUUGAUAAAAACUUGUGUUUUUGCGUCUAUAUCAUAUCCCAUCACUCUAACAUCUUGAAUUGAUUCGCGAGGAAUUACUGGAAUUGGAGGAUGCAACCGUAGGCUUUCUUUCGUUACUGCUUUCAGAUAUUGCAUUUUUGGUACAUCAUCCUCCGUUACACUAGACUUUCCUUGAGCUAUUUGUCUCACUUCAUUUUGCAAUUUCUCCAGUACUUUGGGAUUUCGUAACAGUUGUGUCAUUGACCAUUCGAGAAGUGCAAAUAUGCUGCCGCUUCCAGCUAAAAACAUGUCCUGUUUUUUUCGAAAUAGUAAUAAAUUAAACAGUAAUAUAACAAAAUUUGAUUGAGGAAAUUUUAGAUGAAGACAUACCAGGAUAACUGCUUUGACAGUGUCAAUUUGAAUAGAAAAGCCAGCCUUGCCUUGUCUCUGCAAUUCAAGUAAGAUAUCAACGAAAUCUGUUGGUCCAACUUCAGUACUGGUUUUGCUCUUAUCAUCUCUGUGCUCAUCAACAACUCUUUGCAAGAAUUUGUCGAAUUCUUUAGCUACUAUUUCUACUCUUUUAUCCAAACCAUUUAAGCGAUCCACCCAUCUAAGCCACGGAAUGUAGCUCCCCACGUUAAAUUCACCUAAUAGCUCAACAGUUUCAUUCAGCAGAAACUUAAACUUGUUCCCGGUUUCUCCAUUAGCAUACUUCCUACCUAAAGCGAUCCUACAGAAUACAUCACUUGUAAAUUCACGCAAAAUAUCACUCAAAUUCAUCCCUAAAUGUCGCGAGACAGAACAUAGCUCGCGAAUCUUCUUAACCAUUAAAAGCGUCUCUUCUUCUCGUACACCAUUAAAAGAUUGUACCCUCGUGUUACUUAAAAGUUGAAUCACACAAAUGCUUCUCACUUGCCUCCAAUACUCACCAUAGCUAGUGAAGGCCAUGUCUUUUGAGCCGUAAAGUAGUCUGUCAUGGACGCUUGUUUUAGCCCUAUUCGAGAAAACUAAGUCAUGAGUUUUCAAUAUCUCGUGAGCCGCAUCAGCUGAGGACACAAUAAGUGCUGGAUUUUUGCCUAGUUGAAGAAGCAUUAAGGGACCGUAUUUUUUGGACAACAUUUGGAGGGAGCGAUGCGGGUGUUUGCCUAGUUGAUGGAGAUUUCCAAUUACUGGAAGUUUCCAUGGAGAAGGAGGUAAUAUAUUCUGGGAUUUAGAGAAACAUUUGAGGAGGAUGGCGAUAAAAAGAAUUGAAAUUAGAGAAGCAAGUAAUGAAAGAGGAAGGAAGAUCAUUUUUCAAAGAACUUAAUUUUGUCAAUAGGGCAACUUUUAGGUGUUCUUAGAACGUCCCUGGCCAAAUUAUUGCUUAAAUAGUAGUAACAUCUACUAGUUGAGUUAUUGAUCAAACUAUAGAUGCUAACUUGCAAGUUUUCCCCAUCAUUUUUUUUUUUUGGGUAAAACUAAUAUAAUUGAGAUCUGUCGUGUAUUGUCUUGAUUAAUAUGGUGUAUUCCUUGACCCUUUCUUCAGCUAAUUACGCUAUAGAUACUAUAUUUUGUGAAGGAAAAUGUUUUCAUGGAAAAUAAUUUCUAGGCAUUCUUACUUAUUUUUUGGUAUUUGGCAAGUAAAAGUGGUGAGGGUUGGAAGCGUUGGGUGAGUGGAGAGGAGACAAUAAACUUGGAAUGUCACUUAUAAAACUUAUAAAACUUAUUAUUUCUAUUUUCAUCAGGAACAUCAUUUUAUUCAUUUUUAAGGAACUUGUUUUCCUUGGAAAACAUUCUGAUUUUUCAGAAAUUAUUUAUUUUAUUCCACAUAAAACACACCCUUAAAAGUUAAAGGUAAUAUAGUACUUAUCAUCUAUGGAGUAGUAAUUAGAGGUAAAUGAAAAAACGAAAGUAUUCGACAUUUAUUUACGGCAAUGGAAAUAGAUACUAUAAGAUCAAUAAUCUAAAUGGACAUGAAAGUUAUUAGCUGCAAGCAAUGCUAGGAACUAUGAUUCAUUUACAAUAUUAUUAAUUAGAAGAUGGAGUGGCAAUUGCUAGCAAAGGUGAUUUCCUACUAAUUGUGAUGCCAGUGCUUUCAGUCAUAUACAACUCCUCUUCUUCUAUCCCUUUUGGUAAUGCAAAAUCGAACUUGUGCACAAUCCUUGCUAAUGCUAGCUCAUUCACGGUAAUGGCAAAAGUAAUUCCUGGGCAGCCCCUUCUGCCAGCUCCGAAGGGAAUCAACUCAAAGUUUAGUCCUCUGACGUUAAUAUCACUGUUCAAGAACCUCUCUGGUCGGAAUUCCUCUGGAUUUUCCCACACCAAGGGGUCUCUUGCGAUUGACCAAGCAUUGAUAACGACUUGAGUUUUAGCAGGUAUGUGAUAGCCUAGUAAUUUUACGUCUUCCAUUGAUUCUCGAGGAAGUAGUAGUGGAAGCGGUGGAUGAAGCCUAAGACUCUCCUUGAUCACUGCUUUCAGAUACUGCCUAUUUCCUAAGUCGUCCUCUUUUAUCUCUGCUUUCCCUUGGACUAAUCCCCUCACUUCAUUUUGUAAUUUUUCCAUGGCUCUUAGAUGCCUCAAAAGCUCCGUCAUUGUCCAAUCUAGAGCUGUAUAUGUUGUGUCCGUACCGGCAGCAAAUGAAUCCUAUGUAUUAAAAAGAAACACAAAUACUAAUAUUUAGAGUAACAGAUGUAGUCACACCACUAUUACUUUUCUUCUUGAAAAUUAAUUAUUUCAAAGCAGUAACCAGUAAUUAUAUGUAUUUUGCAGAUAUUGCUACAAUGCUUACCACGAGGAUAGCUUUCAAUGAAUCCCUUUGAAGAGGAAAUCCAGUUACCUUUUCAUUUUGGAUUUCCAACAAAACAUCCAC